CAGCAGCCGCGGUAAGACAGAGGAUGCAAGCGUUAUCUGGAAUGAUUGGGCGUAAAGCGUCUGUAGGUGGCUUUUCAAGUCCGUCGUCAAAUCCCAGGGCUCAACCCUGGACAGGCGGUGGAAACUACCGAGCUGGAGUACGGUAGGGGCAGAGGGAAUUUCCUGUGGAGCGGUGAAAUGCGUUGAGAUCGGAAAGAACACCAGCGGCGAAAGCACUCUGCUGGGCCGACGUUGACACUGAGAGACGAAAGCUAGGGGAGCAAAUGGGAUUAGAUACCCCCGUAGUCCCUGUCUCUUAUAC
rnacentral:rRNA from 1 species